UGUAAGCGUAUACCAAAGUUGUUGCAGUUAAAACGCUCGUAGUCGGAAUUUGGCAGUUCCGGAUGUGUGCACGUCGUGUGCGCACUUCGCGGGGAUUGCUUUUGUGGUCUUGCGUAGGAUGAGGCACUUUUAUUAGUGAACGUCCUCACGCAACCACUUUUUACUGUGAGAAAAUCAGAGUGCUCAAAGCAGGCAUUUGCCGUGAAUGUAUUAGCAUGGAAUAAUAGAAUAGGACUUGGUUCUAUUUUGUUGGUUUGUUGGGACUGAGUAAUGAUUAAGAGGGACAGUUGGGGGCAUUUGUAUUUCGGUGCUAGAGGUGAAAUUCUUAGAUUACCGAAAGACAAACUUCUGCGAAAGCAUUUGUCAAGGAUGUUUUCAUUAA
rnacentral:rRNA from 1 species